rnacentral:rRNA from 1 species
UACGUAGGGUGCGAGCGUUGUCCGGAAUUACUGGGCGUAAAGAGCUCGUAGGUGGUUUGUCGCGUUGUCCGUGAAAACUCACAACUCAAUUGUGGGCGUGCGGGCGAUACGGGCAGACUAGAGUUCGGCAGGGGAGACUGGAAUUCCUGGUGUAGCGGUGAAAUGCGCAGAUAUCAGGAGGAACACCGGUGGCGAAGGCGGGUCUCUGGGCCGAAACUGACGCUGAGGAGCGAAAGCGUGGGGAGCAAACAGG